GUCGGUGUCUAUUGCGGUGAGGGUCCACCUGUUCCCAUUCCGAACACAGUAGUUAAGCUCACCCGCGUCGAAAAUACUUAGGUGGUAACGCCUUGGGAAGAUAGAUCGUCGCCGACA
rnacentral:rRNA from 1 species